UGGCUCUCGAGAUUCGGAGAACGGUGCUUCUUCGAUUUUUGAGAAAGCAAUCAUGCUGGGGGUCUGGCUCUCGAGAUUCGGGGAGCAGUGUCUCUUCGAUUUUUGAGAAAGUAAUCAUGUUGGGAGUCUGGCUCUCGAGAUUCGGAGGGCGGUGCCUCUUCGAUUUUUUAGUAAGCAAUCUUGUUGGGAGUGUUUUCUCGGAUGUGAGUAAAGGUUGGGCAUGUUUGCUAGUCUACCUUGCCACGAGGCACAGAGAUUGACACACAGGGACUUUCCAAUUAUCCAGCAGUGGUACUAUUCCUUUACCCUUGUGGGUAAUAAUAUGGUAGCUAGACCUUCAAAAUUUAUGUGUCUAAACUUUGUUAGUGCUGUUUCUUUGCUAUUCUUUUACCUUUCUUGGUCAGAGCGAUGUAGUGGGAGCUGCAAGCUUCACGUGCUCAACUUUGGCAGAGACUUUGGCAAAGUUAUCUGUGGUACCCAUGAGCUAUUGUUGCGUGUGGGAAGUGGGUGAUUGAACAGUAAGAUUCAUGUGCUUUCGACUUCACCAGAAGUCUUCGACAGAAUGCCCAUAAUUUCCGCAAAGCUGAGUGUGCGUGUGACAGGUGCUGACAAGGCUAGAAAAGUAGGUGCCUCUUCGAUUUCUGAGAUCGGCCCUCGUGAUCUCUGAGCAGCCCAGCUUUUGAGAAAACGAGCGCCUCUUCGAUUGAUUCGGAGAACGAUGCCUCUUCGAUUUUUGAGAAAGCAAUCAUGCUGGGGGUCUGGCUCUCGAGAUUCGGGGAGCAGUGUUUCUUCGAUUUUUGAGAAAGUAAUCAUGUUGGGAGUCUGGCUCUCGAGAUUCGGAGGGCGGCGCCUCUUCGAUUUUGGAGCAAGCAAUCUUGUUGGAAGUGUUUUCUCGAAUGUGAGUAAAGGUUGGGCAUGUUUGCUAGUCUACCUUGCCCCGAAGCACAGAGGUUGACACACAUGGACUUUCCAAUUAUCCAGCAAUGGUACUGUUCCUUUACCCUCUCUUCGAUUUUUGAGAAAGUAGUCAUGUUGGGAGUCUGGCUCUCGAGAUUCGAAGGACGGUGCCUCUUCGAUUUUGGAGCAAGCAAUCUUAUUGGGAGUGUUUUCUCGAAUGUGAGUAAAGGUUGGGCAUGUUUGCUAGUCUACCUUGCCACGAGGCACAGAGGUUGAC
rnacentral:lncRNA from 1 species